rnacentral:rRNA from 1 species
UGGGGAAUAUUGGACAAUGGGCGAAAGCCUGAGCCAGCCAUGCCGCGUGUGUGAAGAAGGUCUUCGGAUUGUAAAGCACUUUAAGUUGGGAGGAAGGGCAGUAAGCGAAUACCUUGCUGGUUUGACGUUACCGACAGAAUAAGCACCGGCUAACUCUGUGCCAGCAGCCGCGGUAAUACAGAGGGUGCAAGCGUUAAUCGGAAUUACUGGGCGGAAAGCGCGCGUAGGUGGUUCGUUAAGUUGAAUGUGAAAGCCCCGGGCUCAACCUGGGAACUGGAUCCAAAACUGGCGAGCUAGAGUAGGGCAGAGGGUGGUGGAAUUUCCUGUGUAGCGGUGAAAUGCGUAGAUAUAGGAAGGAACACCAGUGGCGAAGGCGACCACCUGGGCUCAUACUGACACUGGGGUGCGAAAGCGUGGGGAGCAAACAGG